rnacentral:rRNA from 1 species
GUGGGGAAUAUUGGACAAUGGGCGAAAGCCUGAUCCAGCCAUGCCGCGUGUGUGAAGAAGGUCUUCGGAUUGUAAAGCACUUUAAGUUGGGAGGAAGGGCAGUAAGUUAAUACCUUGCUGUUUUGACGUUACCGACAGAAUAAGCACCGGCUAACUUCGUGCCAGCAGCCGCGGUAAUACGAAGGGUGCAAGCGUUAAUCGGAAUUACUGGGCGUAACGCGCGCGUAGGUGGUUUUGUAAGACAGGCGUGAAAUCCCCGGGCUCAACCUGGGAACUGCCUCCAAAACUGCAUGACUAGAGUACGGUAGAGGGUAGUGGAAUUUCCUGUGUAGCGGUGAAAUGCGUAGAUAUAGGAAGGAACACCAGUGGCGAAGGCGACUACCUGGACUGAUACUGACACUGAGGUGCGAAAGCGUGGGGAGCAAACAGGAUUAGAUACCCUAGUAGUCC